UACGUAGGGGGGCGAGCGUUUGUCCGGAAUUAUUGGGCGUAAAGGGUGUGUAGGCGGCUUUGCAAGUCAGAUGUGAAAUGCCACGGCUUAACCGUGGGACUGCAUUUGAAACUGCAGGGCUUGAGUUCGGAAGAGGAAAACGGAAUUCCUAGUGUAGCGGUGAAAUGCGUAGAUAUUAGGAGGAACACCGGUGGCGAAGGCGGUUUUCUGGGCCGACACUGACGCUGAGGCACGAAAGCGUGGGGAGCGAACAGG
rnacentral:rRNA from 1 species